GGCUUGGGCGCAGGCUCCGCGCUGCCCAAAAUGGCAGCGUGGGGCUUGUGUCUACCCGCCGCCUUCCCCUCAGCUGCCUCCCUCUCACUGAGGCUCCGCUGCUGCUGCACGAGUUCCAGCCGCUGAUGGAUCGCGCGCGCGUGGCUGCUGCUGGAGGGCAGCGCGCGAGAGGGUGAUCUGGCGCUGCUGGAGACCUUCGCCCGCGACCUCUUCGCCCGAGCUGGAGCCGCGCAAGGAGGAGGAGGUAGCGAGGGCGCAGCCGGUUCCUCCCGGGGCGCGCAGGGUCCGUGUGUGCGUAGGCAGCGGAGGCGCCGUGCGCGCUGCUCUUCGUGCUCUUCCGCGCAGGAUUCGCUCGCGCCGCCCCCGCGCGUGCCAGGAGCGGCUCUGCCUGAGCGAGAUCCUCCACGACGUGCGAGGCUCUGUGCAGCGCACCGUGCCUUGCUCACCCCACCUCCAUCCCCGGCUCGCCCCAACCCCUGGGCGCAAGGCAUGUGCGCCACACCGGGCGCCCGAGUGGCCAGCUCCGCCACUGAGAAACAGAUGCCUAUAACACAGGAUUCAGGCCAACUUUUGGAACCAACUCCAGCCCUGGACACUGAAGUUGAAACUUCACCCUCUGGACUCCAACCUGGAAAAACCCAGCAUUAACCUCAAGGAACGAGGCGAUUGCCAGUGCAUCCAGCCCCCAUCCCAGGAGAGGGAGAUAAAUAUGGCAGAUCUGCAUCAAAACGAUUUAUACCCAUCUGUCACCAUUGUGAAAAGAUGGUCAUCCCAUACAAAAUCUAGGGUGAACGAGGUAGUCAAUCCAGUGGAAGAUAUAAGGUUGCUAGAGAGAGAAAGCAAAGAGGCAGAGCUGUUUCUAUUUGUUUAGCUAUGGAUAUCCACAACUGCAUCCAAAAGCAGAAGACAGCCAGGGAGCCCCAGUCACAUGCAGAAGCAAGGGCCAUCAAGUGAGUGAUGGGAAAGAUCUUGACUUGGUUGGUUGCUGCCAGUCCGAGCAUACCAUACUGGGCUAGAUGAACCAACACUCUGGUGUGCUAUAAGGCAGCUUCCCAUGUCUGAUGUGUGCUUCUGGGUAUGUAUGGCGCAGCUGUGGUUCUAAUGAUUAAUUGCUCCCAUUGUGAGCCGGAUGUGCAUUAUGUGACUAAUUUUCGCUGCAUUAAUGAAUCCCCAGAUUGACAUUCAAAGACUUUCUCCCCUUUCUUCUUACAAUAACCUCUGCUGUUAAUGGAUUUUGAUGGACUCUGGUAAGUGCACGAUGACAGGAACACUACACAAAGGUUCUUGUUAGUGUUUUUCCCCAAACACAGUGUGGGUCAUACCAGUCACGGUUUGUACUGUGAUGGUCUUCUCCACGUGUGGGCACUCACUGCAAAAGGGCCACUUCCUGAGGGUUGACCCCAGCUGGAGCUUUUGUACUUCAAAUAACUGCAUCUGAGCAGGGAUUUGAAUCUGAGCAUCCCACAUCCAAACACAUCAGCUCUCUAUGGAAGCACCAUCCCAAUAUUAUUAUGGCACAUGGGGACAACAAUUGGAUUUUGGCACAUGCUGAAGGAAACCCUGGAGCUAACAUGAGUCCUCCACAAUUCAGAUGCUCACCUAAAUGACCAUAGAAAGGUGAGCAGGUUUGUUCACAUUCCUGGCAGGUAGCCUCACUAAAAGAGCAUUUGGCAGAAUGUCUGGAAAAAAGCUAUGAAUGUACAAACUGUGGGCAGAUCUACACUAUACAUUUAAAGCACAUCCUAUGCACAUACAACAAAGCAUACAACAUCCCCCAAAGAAUGCUGGGAACAGUAGUUCUUUAAAGGGUUCUGUGAAUUGUAUCUCUGUGAUGGAGAAACUACAGUUCCCAGCAUUCUUUGGGGGAAGUCAGGUGCUUUGAGGAUGCACACACACUAUACCUUUAAAGCACAUUUAUUUGUUUUACAGUCAUACCUCGGGUUGAAGUAGCUUCGGGAUGAGGAUUUUCGGGUUGCGUGCUGCGGCGACCCGGAAGUAACGGAGCACGUUACUUCCGGGUUUCGCCGCUCGUGCAUGCGCAGAUGAUCAAAAUGACAUCACGCGCAUGCGCGGAUGCAGCAAAUAGCGACAUACACAGACACGGAGACGCAGGUUGCGUUCACUUCUGGAUGUGAACGGGGCUCCAGAACGGAUCCCGUUCGUAACCAGAGGUACCACUGUAUUUCAGAGAAUGUAUACACUGCUUGAUUUUAACACCAAAAAAUCCCCAAAACCCUCAUUGAAACACAUUAUUUCCCUCUGAGCACAGAGUUACCAUCCCCAGCAACACUUAAUAGUACCAUCACUGGGGCCCAUCAUUGUCUCUUGUGGGAAUGAGUUCCAUAGUUUAACUAUUUCUUUUAUCUGUCCUGAAUCUUCCAACAUUCAGCUUUACACGGGUGGCGCUGUGGGUUAAACCACAGAGCCUAGGACUUGCCGAUCAGAAGGUUGGUGGUUUGAAUCCCCACAACGGGGUGAGCUCCCAUUGCUCAGUCCCUGCUCCUGCCAACUUAGCAGUUUGAAAGCACGUCAAAGUACAAGUAGAUAAAUAGGUACCGCUCCGGUGGGAAGGUAAAUGGUGUUUCCGUGCGCUGCUCUAGUUCGUCAGAAGCGGCUUAGUCAUGCUGGCCACAUGACCCGGAAGCUGUACGCUGGCUCCCUUGGCCAGUAAAGAGAGAUGAGCGCCACAACCCAGAGUCGGCCACGACUGGACCUAAUGGUCAGGGGUCCCUUUACCUUUAUGAGUUCUUGUCACCUGAGAGAGAGAGAGCUUUUCUCUAUCCACUUUCUGUAUGCCAGGGAUCAAUUUAUAAACUUCUAUCAUUUCACUUCUUAUUUGCCUUUUCUCUAAACUAAGAAGUCCCAGACUCUGCAACUAUGCCUCAUGGGGGAAUAUAAAUACAAAAGAAGGAAAACAAAUCUUUAUACAUUUGCCACUGCUAAUACUACCCACUUGAGGACACUAUAUAUUCUUGCACUUUAUAAAAAUCAAAUUCUGUGAAUAAUUGCAAAUUAUGUAUAAUUGCAAUUGGGAUAAGUAUGAAUAAAGUAUGCUAAUUAGACAUCUU
rnacentral:lncRNA from 1 species